AGAAUCAACGCUGGCGGCGUGCCUAACACAUGCAAGUCGAACGAGAAAGUGGAGCAAUCCAUGAGUAAAGUGGCGCACGGGUGAGUAACACGUGACUAACCUACCCUUGAGUGGGGAAUAACUGAGGGAAACCUUAGCUAAUACCACAUAAUACCUACGGGUCAAAGGAGCAAUUCGCUUAAGGAGGGGUCGCGGCAGAUUAGCUAGUUGGCGGGGUAAUGGCCCACCAAGGCAGUGAUCUGUA
rnacentral:rRNA from 1 species